UUUGAAAUGACAGACAGAUGUGCAGGAUUUAAGCUCCUGUUAGGGAGGAUUUCUCCUUUCAAUA
rnacentral:tRNA from 1 species